GAUGAACGCUGGCGGCGUGCCUAAUACAUGCAAGUCGAGCGAACAGACGAGGAGCUUGCUCCUCUGACGUUAGCGGCGGACGGGUGAGUAACACGUGGAUAACCUACCUAUAAGACUGGGAUAACUUCGGGAAACCGGAGCUAAUACCGGAUAAUAUAUUGAACCGCAUGGUACAAUAGUGAAAGACGGUUUUGCUGUCACUUAUAGAUGGAUCCGCGCCGCAUUAGCUAGUUGGUAAGGUAACGGCUUACCAAGGCAACGAUGCGUAGCCGACCUGAGAGGGUGAUCGGCCACACUGGAACUGAGACACGGUCCAGACGCCUACGGGAGGCAGCAGUAGGGAAUCUUCCGCAAGGGGCGAAAGCCUGACGGAGCAACGCCGCGUGAGUGAUGAAGGUCUUCGGAUCGUAAAACUCUGUUAUUAGGGAAGAACAAAUGUGUAAGUAACUAUGCACGUCUGGACGGUACCUAAGCAGAAAGCCACGGCUAACUACGU
rnacentral:rRNA from 1 species